rnacentral:rRNA from 1 species
GAUGAACGCUGGCGGCGUGCCUAAUACAUGCAAGUCGAGCGAACAGACGAGGAGCUUGCUCCUCUGACGUUAGCGGCGGACGGGUGAGUAACACGUGGAUAACCUACCUAUAAGACUGGGAUAACUUCGGGAAACCGGAGCUAAUACCGGAUAAUAUAUUGAACCGCAUGGUUCAAUAGUGAAAGACGGUUUUGCUGUCACUUAUAGAUGGAUCCGCGCCGCAUUAGCUAGUUGGUAAGGUAACGGCUUACCAAGGCAAUGAUGCGUAGCCGACCUGAGAGGGUGAUCGGCCACACUGGAACUGAGACACGGUCCAGACUCCUACGGGAGGCAGCAGUAGGGAAUCUUCCGCAAUGGGCGAAAGCCUGACGGAGCAACGCCGCGUGAGUGAUGAAGGUCUUCGGAUCGUAAAACUCUGUUAUUAGGGAAGAACAAAUGUGUAAGUAACUAUGCACGCCUUGACGGUACCUAAUCAGAAAGCCACGGCUAACUACGU